UCUGGUUAGGUUGUUAAGAUAUUAAGUAGCUAGAUACAGCUAGUUGCUUAAGUACUUGCUCUGGCAAGUAACAAAUUGGCUACAUAGCUAAACCAGAGUUAGCUAAGUAAUCUAGCUAACGCUAGCUAUCUUGCAAGCAAGUCACAGCUUUCUCAUUACUGCAAGUGCUACUGCAAUUAUGAUGCUGCUGCAAGUCUGUGUUUUUGUCUUUUUGCUUCUUUCAGCCUUAUCUUGCUACAGCUAAAUACUAUAUCCCCUAACUUUCUAUUCUGUAUGUUCUCUCCUUGUUAGCCACCAAGGAUGCAAAUGUAACUCUGUUAACUACUGUUAUGAACAGCAUAAUAUUGAUUCAUGAGAGAUAUAACAAGCUAGACCUAGUAGAUAUAGCUAGCUAGCUAAAUUGAAUAUAAUAUCAUGUUCUCAAUUUCCCCCCAGCAUCUCAGAGUCUAAGUUCUUCAGAUAGCUAUGUUCUUUACCUUCACACUCACUUUUGUAAUGCCCACAACUUGCAAGAAUUCAGUAGUUUGCAAAUGUGUCUAUGAUCACAAUUGAUUACAUUUGUUCAUUAAGUUGAAUUGUUGAUUUGGUUCAAGUUUGCCCAAAAGAAAGGAGGCAAGCUCAGAUAGGCUGAAAAGGACCAACUUCAGAAAGAGGAGGAUGAGAGAAGACAAAAGGAAGAGGGGGCUCGACUCCUGGCUGAGAAAGAGGAGCAAGAGAGGCUGGAGCUAAAAGUAUUACCAUCACUGACCUUUAUCGUUCAUGGUUAUCAGUGUGUUUGUGUACAGAGAGGGCUCUUGAAGUUAAACCUGUUCAUAAUGUCCUAAUGAAAAAGAGUGAUCAUUGCUGGCUUUCUGUGACAGCACAAAGUUCGCAGAGAGGACGACCUGAAUCAAGUGCGUCAUCUACUGGAAGAGAACCAGAUUGCAGUCACCAAGUGGGUGACUGACUCCAGAGCAAAAGCCAAGUGAGACAGGUACAUGCGUUGUGACGGGAGUCCAGACCCGUCAGUCCAGCAGGCGAUCAACACCUUCAUCAACAUGUGGUGGGAGGACCCAGAAGUCCAGAUCAAACCGGUUCUAAAGGAGUGUGCCCUGGCUCUACGGCUGCUAGAGGAGCUGGAGGGUAUGCUGGAGGGUAUGCUGAGGGACCAGCCUGAACCAGCUGAUGCCCUGAGGUACCAGGAGACCCAGCUCUCCAUCGACUCUCAUUCAAUACAAACAUGACCACAGCACUGAGGAGAUACUCAAGUGCUCACUCGGACGUUGAGACGGGGAACAUGCAGACAGUGGUCCAGGAUGACAACAUCACACUGUGUCUGUGGGCCAACCUUAACAAGAACCCAAGGCACGUCACAGACGUUUAAAGGGUUCCAGUUCGAGGAGGUGGGGCUGGGCUUUAAGCUGCCCAAACAGCUGGCUGUCAGUGAUAUCGCUGUGAGAAUCCUCCACACCCACCACAACCACUUGUCUCACCUGGCCAACCUGAAAAGCCAGACCCCCAGCAGGAUGUCUCUGGGCCUGGGGGCCAGUGAGGAGCCCCCUUCUGGAGGGAGCGACCCCCGCGGGGGGAGACGGUGACAGGAGAGGGAGCACACAGCAGGGAGGUGCAGAGGAAGAGGUGCAGUCUGUCAGAGGGUCCAAAGGCAGGAAGAGUGCGGUGAGUGUGAUGUCUAUGGAGGAGGAGGAGAGGAGGCGUGGUCAGAAGCAGCUGGAGGAUGUGCAACAGAAGCUGGAGGAGAAAGGGAGUCAGAUACCAUGCUAGUCGGACAUGACUCAGGUGAGGGAGACUCCUCCCCUACCCCGAUGGACCCAGUGAUUGACAGCUAUGAGGGUCAGGUGGUUGACCUGCAGCAGUACACACCCCUGGGAGGAGUCUUCUACUGCGAUGUGUUCCGUCUGCCGCCACAGUCCCAACAACUCAACGGAUGGGAGAUGAGAGAGCUGUUGGACACAGGGUUGCAGCCGUUCCCCUACCCCACGGAGCAGUCCCAGAUCCAGGGCUCUGCCUCCAUGAAGCUGGAGGACAGUGGGGUCCUGACCUGUCCCCCUGUAGGGGUCACAGUCACCCUGCCUGACUCUGUCCUGUUCCUGGAGGACCCACAGGUUGCCCACUGGGACCCUGAAGUUCAGCACUGGAAGACAGACUGCAUCAGUGAGACGUACGACAAGGCAGAGCGGAAGAUCUCGUUCAAGAUGGAUUCGUUCUACAGGACUCGUAUGCCAACAUGCCGUUCCACAGCUGGGAGCUCAGACCACUGGGCCAGGUCUCUGCCCUGCUCACCAUCACGGCAAGAACUCACAAUCUGUCAUGCUCCGUCUCCUCCAUAAACUCAGGGUGCGGCAGCAAGUUUAUGCUCCAGUCAGACCAGGAGAGAGGACUGAACCACAUCCUGGGCCAGUGGAUGAGUCCUUCUGGACUGCAGAAAGCCAUGGUCAGCGCCGGGGUCACAUCUUCGUCAACCAAUACUCUGACAAAUGUGUCAGCGUAAAUGCAAAGGACCCUCUGAUAGAACACGCGGUGUAUGAACAGAUGGCGCUGCUCUCCUCUGCCUUCUCCUGGAGCCAGUGGAACACAGUGUGGCCAGGAGCAUCUGGUGCUGCAGGUGUGUGAGCACCUAGACCCAGUCCGAGAGGACUUGUGGUGCGUGUACCUACUGGGGGCUCGGAGGUGGCUGAGGAGCAAGGAACACAGGGAGGCAUUCUCUCCAGAGCUGGACCCCGGCAGCAAGUUCCACUCUACCUUCCUGCACAUGCUCCGAGACCGCAUGUCCCGCGCCGGACAGGUGCGACGCUCUCACCACCUGUUCGUCGAUGCCGUGCAGACUGCUGUGUGCCACACGGCCUCUCACAUACUCCUGACUACAGUAGAUACUAGACCCCCAAGCUCUAUGUAGGAGUAGGCAACAACCACAGAUCUAGGAUCAGAUUUGACUAUUCCCAAUCAUAACUUUAAUCAGUAGGGGGAAUAUAUAUUUAUCUGAUCUUGUAUCAGAGGUUAGAGGCAACUUCAACCUACUCUGUGCAGAACACCGUGGGUAUGACAGACUGCUCACUGUGAACUUUAACCCUUACAACAGAUGGACCCUCAUGUAAAACCACAAAGCUUAUUUGUGUAGAAUAAAGUUCCUUUAUUGUGUAAAGUUUGACUCCCCCUCUUUGGAACAUACAAAAGUGGAUUAAUUUCAUAAGUGAGCACUUAAAGAAGUAGAGUAAAAACCAUUUGUUUGAGUUUGUAACAAAACGCUGGUUAUAAACAAAAACAGAUGCAGUAUAAUAGAUAUUCAUAUCCCCACACAGUGUAAUGCUGUCAAACGAUAAAUUAAACAUAAAAAUGGCAGUGUAUUACCAA